rnacentral:rRNA from 1 species
GACGAACGCUGGCGGCGUGCUUAACACAUGCAAGUCGAGCGGAAAGGCCCUUCGGGGUACUCGAGCGGCGAACGGGUGAGUAACACGUGAGUGAUCUGCCCUGUGCUUCGGGAUAGCUUCGGGAAACCGAAAUUAAUACCGGAUACGACAUGCGCCUGCAUGGGUGUGUGUGGAAAGUUUUUUCGGCACAGGAUGUGCUCGCGGCCUAUCAGCUUGACGGUGGGGUAAUGGCCUACCGUGGCUUCGACGGGUAGCCGGCCUGAGAGGGUGACCGGCCACACUGGGACUGAGACACGGCCCAGACUCCUACGGGAGGCUG